GACGUAGGGCGCGAGCGUUGUCCGGAUUUAUUGGGCGUAAAGAGCUCGUAGGCGGCUUGUCGCGUCGACCGUGAAAACUCGCAGCUCAACUGCGAGCCUGCGGUCGAUACGGGCAGGCUAGAGUUCGGUAGGGGAGACUGGAAUUCCUGGUGUAGCGGUGAAAUGCGCAGAUAUCAGGAGGAACACCGAUGGCGAAGGCAGAUCUCUGGGCCGUAACUGACGCUGAGGAGCGAAAGCAUGGGGAGCGAACAGG
rnacentral:rRNA from 1 species